rnacentral:rRNA from 1 species
AGAACGAACGCUGGCGGCAUGCCUAAUACAUGCAAGUCGAACGAACUCUUCGGAGUUAGUGGCGCACGGGUGCGUAACGCGUGGGAAUCUGCCCCUUGGUUCGGAAUAACAGUUGGAAACGACUGCUAAUACCGGAUGAUGACGAAAGUCCAAAGAUUUAUCGCCAAGGGAUGAGCCCGCGUAGGAUUAGCUAGUUGGUGAGGUAAAGGCUCACCAAGGCAACGAUCCUUAGCUGGUCUGAGAGGAUGAUCAGCCACACUGGGACUGAGACACGGCCCAGACUCCUACGGGAGGCAGCAGUAGGGAAUAUUGGACAAUGGGCGAAAGCCUGAU